rnacentral:lncRNA from 1 species
AUAGUCACUGCAUUCUCUGGGUUGACAUUUAUCAUUUGUGUCACUAGGCGAUUAAGAAAAGGUAAGUGAAUUUAACUUCAUAUGAAAAUAAAAGAAGUAUAAAGUUAAAAAGAAAGAAAGAAAGAGCCUCACAGGAAAUUGAGUGUAAUAGAUUCAAUUGAAGCAGGAGGCCAAGCUUAAAGUUCUAUAGACAAUCAACCCAGGACACACUUCCAUUAAAGCAGGCUGGCUGACUUAUUUUUCAUUAGGCAAAUUUGGAAAAUGCCUGUUAUCUUGAAGACAUCUUGCUAGGGGGAUGACAACUAACUGAGAUGUUUACUCUUAUUUAAUUGUGAGAAAGGGAGGCAUAAUCUCUGUCCUCUAAGCACCUACAUGCCUCUGAUUUCAGUUUUACAGUUUCACUGGGAAGUGAACCUAACAUCCACCAAGGUUUUCAGGUGCUGCUCUCAAAAGCCUGACUUCUUGAAGAGUCCCUGUCUUGUCUGUUUCUGGACUGUCCCCGGGGAAACCGCCCACCCUCUCCCUGCUGUCUAUCACCAAGGAAGGCCACAGCUGUAACCAAGUACUCCACGUGCACCGCCCUCCAGCCUGGGCUGGAGAGGAGAAGGCAGAGCAGGCCUGCCCUGAGCAGCUACUGUCUGCUUCCUGGACUCAGAGUGGAACAGCAGCAGAGAGGCACCCAGUGUCACUCCCCGUUGCCCCUGCAGGGCCCACCCCUGAAGGUGGGCAACAGUCUGCAGCAGGCCUUGGGUGUGCACUGCCACAUGUGGCCAACUCCCUUGGCAGAACCGUUCACAGCUACAACUCACAGGCACUGGGCAGCUUUUAAGUUACACCUGUUUCAAGUUCAGGGGCCAUGGACCGCCUCAAAGCAAGUGCGGACCAACUCCUCUGUGCUAACUCUCUGUGGCAUCAAUGGGUUGACAUUUAAGUUUCCCUUCCUUCCAGUAAGGCAGCAUGUGUUCUGUCACUGGAUGUGGGAUGCCAUGCACAGUGGCAAUUCCAGGAUUCUUCUCCUCCAGCCCCUGGUCUUGCACUCUGAUCCAAUCUUUCAUCCACAGUUAGGGAGAUGCCAGAUUCAUUUUCUCACCAACUUGAAAGACAGUGGAGGGGGCACAACCUGGGAGGAAGAACCUCAGUAACUAAAACCUGAGAGCACUGAGCAGACACAGUGUCCUCCCUGCUGCUGUGAAUUCCGGGGGACUGGAUUCCACCAUCACAUUCCCUCAGUACUUGGGGAAAGAAGAGUGACAGCUGCCUGUCACCAGUGACCAUUCCUUCCAUGGAGACGUCCAAGCCUGACCUCUACUGUCCUUUCUUUCUUCCUGCCUUGGGUGAUGAGGGCAGAGCCAGGGGCUGGAGAAUAGAGUGUUAGUUACACCUGUGCCCUGCCCUGGGAUGUGCCCUGCCCUGGAUGUGGAACUUUAAGGACUUUGGGGAUAAAAGUCACCUUUGUAAGGAGGAUGCUUGUCUCCAAAUUCUUAGCUUUUAGCCCAAAAUUCAAAGAAUAGAAUCAAGGUCAUAUGUUUUUCACGAGGGGUGAGCUGGCUAAGACUCUUGUGUGAGUAGGUGAGAAAGGCAGUAGGAUUGUUUUUUAAGUUUUUACCUGGGAGUCAUUUCUGUACAAGAUCUCAGUCUGAUAACUUGAAAACUGCAUGCCCUGCUGUGGGAAUCAGUAUGGAGCAAGCAGGAAACAGAUAACGGGCACUUAGGCUAGUUACAGUUAUGCCACCAAGAGCCAGAGCCCCAGAGAUCCCUGACUCUGUGGGAAGUCAGAGUUAAUGCAACUCUUAGUUGUCUCCAUUUGUGAAUCUUCUACCAGGAUCUCUGACUUUCAUGUAAGUGGCUUUCUCUUCCAAAGUUUUAAUUGUAAGUUAUUUCUUUAACAUGUGGAGAAUAUAUUGCUACAGAGGCAAUGCUGGACAUGAUGGCUUGGUCUUCUUCAGUCUAAAAUCACAGAGCCUCAGCUGAUGUGUUUAGAAUUAGGAGUGAAAAAUAAUAAUUUGUAUUCAUAUACAGGAUGCUUCUGAGAAUCUUUUAGAUUGUUAGGUUCAAAAAUCCGGGGAAAGGCAGCAGAUGAUGAGCAGCUGCCCUGAGAUGUGGACUGACAGGUGGCUGGGUAUAGUUGGUGUCCCCAGCAGGCAGUUCAGCCCAGAUGUCUGUGUUUGUGAGCAGCACAGUGAGGGAUCGAGCCAUGAGGCUCUGCAUCCAUAGCCUGCUGUGCCUGGGAACCUACCACGGUCGAUUGAAACUGCACACCAAGCUAAAGGGGCCUUGGGGGCCUCUAGACACAUAGGGGUCCACCUAACAAUUGCAUAAUAUAUUUCAAAACAUAGUUUUGGGGAUGGGAAUCUUCCUUUCCCGUUACUUUAAAAAUUGAAAUUGUCUACUCUUUGUUGAUGCCAUUUCUCUUUUCUAUUUUUAGGCACGAAAUCUCAGAUACGGUAAGUUUUAUCAGUGAGUAAUUUCCAUAUUUGUUGAUCCUUUUUCUAAGUAGAAAAUGCUUCUUAAAAUAUUUUUUAUUGUUAUGGCUAGUCACAUUAAUUCCAUGGUUAACACCAUGGGAGUAUCAUCUAAAUGAAGUUUUUAUGUAAAGUAAUAAAUUGCUAGCUUCUUAAAAUUUGGGUGUCUUUUUUUUUUUUUGGUGCUUAUAAAGCAAAAUAUAUGAAUGUGUAAAUAACUCUCUAUUAGGAAGAAUUGUUGUGUAAAGGGAGCUUUUCCUGAUUGUCCCUGAAGUUUCUUUAAGUGUUAGAAGCAUUGUGUUGUUUUUUUCUGUUCUGUGUGAACACACAUGGAGACUUCACAUGGUCACUGAGAAACACUCCAUCCCACAAGCAUUUAUUAAGCAACUAGUAUACAUCACACCUUAGGAAGGAAGUACAACCCCAGACCCCAAAUUUAAUAUAUUAAAUCUUUUUUUUCUAACUCUGGUAUUGAAACUCUAGUGCUUUAAUUGGAGAAAUAUUGCAGAAUGUUGAGAAGAGUUGAGGACACAUGGAAAUUCAUGGCCCACCUGGCAGCACUGAUGACGGCCGGAGAUUUCAGGUUUACGAGUUUAGUGGCUUGCUUUGGAAUUUUAGAGAGGCGAGUGUAGGAGAAAACAACUGUGGAGAUGAGACUUGGUGAGGUACUCAGUGCCCAGCUGGACAACACAGCUGCUUUUAAAAUGCUGUGUGUGAGGGCUGGGGAUGUAGCUCAGUUGGUAGAGUGCUUGCCUCCUAUGCACAAGGCCCUGGGUUCAAUCCCCAGCACCACAAACAAACAAACAAACAAACAAACAAAAAUGCUGCAAAUGAAGCCAGAUGAUUCCUGAAGAAGCUGGGGCUUGCUCAACCACCCAACCAGCCACCAAUCAUCACUGAGAAAAUCUUAGCAUUCAGGGGGCUGUAGCUCACAGUGCAGCAGAGAAGCCGGGGAGACGGGGCACCAAGGCCAGAUCCGGAAGCUGUGUAUAAGGCACACUAGGAGCGGGGUCUCAUGCUGAGCUCUGUGGGAUGUCACCAGGGACACUGAUGCAGUGUGUGCAUCUCACAUCUUGUGGGGAUCACCCUGCCUGGAGUGCAGACCCAGAGGUGGGUGAGUCUGAGGCAAAAACACCAGUCUGGAGACAUUUGGAGUUAUGAGGUUAAAGCUCAGGGUGCCUGUUUAGAGAAACCACAGUGAGGCUGGACUCAUGAGGCGACAAGAGGUAGGAUCAACUGAAUGUGGUGCGUAAUUGGUAGAGAGACACACACAGAGAGAGAGAGCCAGAAGAGUCAAAGAGGCUGCCUGAGUCCGACCUGGGAACUACUGGCGGGGGGGGGGGGGGGGUGUUUACCGCUGAGACAUGAACAUAAGAGAAGGAGCAAUUUGGGACGUGAAGAUCUCAAGCUCAGGUUUGUACAUGCUGAGCUUCAGGUGUCUGAGGGUCACCCACAGUGUGUUGGUUCUCUCCAGCACAAAGGGCAGGAGAUAUGGAUUUGGGGGUUCUCUCAUUUCAGGAGGUGACGGCCAUCACAGGAGGGUGCACAGUAACCCAGGGACAGUGGGAGCGUGGGAAAGGAAGAGGACCUGGGAGAGGGUGGCAGCCAGAGGAGCAUCAGUAUCUAAGUCAGCUAAGGAAGGAGGAGAAGGAGACGGGCCCAAGCAAGGGGAGGGAGACUCAGGGGCCACAAAUCUAGGGAAGAAGAAAAUGGAAAUAGUCUCGAUGUGGCUGGAAGAACAGCAAGUUUCUAGGGGCUAUAACAUGGCAUCCCUGGGAGAGCGUUCCCAGUGCAGACACAAGAUGAAGUCAGAGGGCAAAAGGCUGAGGAGUCCUUGGGAUGAGGAGGGGAGGUGGAACAUGUGUUUAUGUAUUUAAAGUCUGGCUCUGAAGGAGGGUUGUGGGGUAAGUGAAUGGGGACAUAGAUCAGGGGCUCCCUUCUAUUUUGGUAUUGUGGUGUCUCCUACAUGAAAGAUGCAGUUUUCCCUCCGGUGCACCUGGAAGUAUUUCUUUGUGAUUAAAAACUUUUUCUGCUCCCUUUUGCCCCAUACUCAUCACCCUAUCCCCAGCCCACUGUUCUUGUGUGUGUGUGUGUGUGUGCUUUUUUCUUUUGGAUUGGUGCUGGUUGAUUUUGGUGCUGGUGCUUUACCCCGGCUACAUCCCAGCAUCUCACUAAGGUGCUGAGGCUGACCUUGAAUUUGCUAUCCUUCUGCCUCAGCCUCCUCAGUCACUGGGAUCACAGCCAUGUGUCACUGUGCCCUGCAGCUCAGUCUUUUGCUACCUUCUCUGUGGGGACUCUCAAGUCCAUAGAGUAAAGGACGGCUCUGGAAUGAUACCUGACUUGCUCAAUCCUGAUUCUUUGUUUCCAGUUUCAAUUCAGUGUCUUGCAUGUCCACACACACUUAAAUACAGUAAAAGUUGACACAUGUGUGACUACAGUCUCAGUUUUAAUGAAGAUCAAACCUCAUGCCCUCUGUCCUCCAUAUAUCUGAGGGGCGACACUCACAUAGAAAAUUCGUAUUGAUGGUAUUAUUGCUCUCCAACUGCAGUAAAUCAAAGGGCUCUGCUCACGCUGAAGGGUCCCACUGCACUGUAGCUCACCUGUGUAAGAGAGGCCCUCCUAUCCAGCCACCUGCAGCCUGCCCGCCUCCUCGGCCAUCUCCCUUCUCAGCUGGCCAACUUCUACACCAGCAUCUCAGCACCAAACAAAGGAAGGGACACGGUGAUGGCCAGAGCUGUUUGGAAGUUGGGGGUCUGUCUCUUCCUGUCUCUUCCUGUGAGACCCAUCCACACGUCUGAGUCCCUGCUUCUUUCUGAGCACCAUUGUUAACACACAAGAAGCCUCACUGAAAUGCUGGCUGCAGGUGGCAUCUCCUCAGCUGUGCAGGAGAGGGACUCCCUGACUCCUGCUGAAUGCCCCUUCCCCUGCCCCAGGUCUCCUACCACCCCCCUCGCCCUCCUUCUUCACUAGCUCUCACCUUGGCCAGCCAGAGGCAGUCUCCCCUCCCUGGCGUCCCUCUACAAGGUCAGUCUGUAUCGGGCAAUUUUGGACUUAAGUAUGAUCUAAACUUCUAACCCAGUCUGUUUUUAAAAUUGUAAUAUGUUCUGAUUUCUUUCCAAUAAAAUUGGAUGCUCCUUAAAGGCAGAGAUUGUGCCAGAUCUCCAGAAAGUCCAGUUGGUUGCUUGACCCUCGGUAGAUGUGUGUCCAAAUGAAUCAGAGAGAGCAUCAGAAAGUGCGCCCUUAGGGCAAGUUGCAGCAAACCUCUCUCCAUGGCAUGCAAUGAGACUUCACCUGAUCAGGGCUGGAUUCUCAGGAGAGAACAGGCUCCAUCAGAACCUAGUCAGAAAUACCUCCUUGCCCCAUGGCCAGACCAGCCUUGCUAUGACUUUGUGCCUCUUAAGAGAAGCAGCUUUGGGUAAGGAUUGCACUUUCCCUUCCAGAGUCAUUUCAGGUUCUGCAUUACAGCAAAGGCUAGUGCCAGAGGCUCUCCAUCUUGUACAGCUGCAAGGAUGUGUCAUCCACAUUCAUGUGGCUCCCGGGGCACCCUGAAGUUGUGCAGUGCACUACCUGCACAGACUCACUGCCUGCUCUGGCAGCCCUCACUCUGAGUGCUGUUCACUGGGACGUCAGGGCCAAGGACCCCAGUGGAGACUGCUUUGGGGAGUAAGAUGUGUGUGGUUUAGAAAGUUAUCCGCAGGCGUCCAUGUUUCCCCCAGUUCCUGCUCUCUGACAGCUGACGUGCCUCUUGGCUGCCUCUCUUCUCCCUCUUGACUUGGCCAUUGUCCACAAGUGCCAUGGAACAGACAGGAAGAAAAUCUGCCAUCACCAAGCAGCCACAACCCAUGAGAGGGACAGGGAAACAGGAGUGAUCGCGAAACUCCACCUCCUUUGUCCCGUGGUCCUGCUGAUCUCAUGGGCUCCCAACAUCUCCUGACGCACGCAGCCUCCCUGGGGGCCCUGAACAGAGUGUGGCUGGACUGGGCUUUCCCUGCAUCUGGGCACAAAGCUUGUCCUAGUGCAGUUCUGCUAGUGGUGUGUCCAGUGCUGAUGGAUUAGCAGUAGUCGUCUCCAUGGUGAUGAUAAGAGUGGGGUCAUUUAAAACUAUGAUUAUCUGAAACUGAUCUUAGUCGGCCUCCAAAGGCUUCAGGAGAAAGCUGCCUUUUCCUGAGAAGCCUUCAAGGGAGAGGUGAGAGUCCACAGUGUGGGGGGAACUGAAGGAGUGCUAGUGUGGAAGUGAGGUGUCUGUGUAAGGAAACUUAGCUUCUGUGAGGACCUGAGAAGGAAAGAAGAGAGAAAGAAAGAAAUGUAGACAUAGGUAAAAAGCACUGAAGGGUUGACUCAGACAUUCAGAAAUGAAAAACAAAACAGACUCUGGUUAAAUAUGGGUUAUGAAAAUGUUUCAGGAAAUCCCCCUCCUUUGCUGUUUUUCUUCAGUGUGAACUUAUCUCUUUUAUUGUUAUUUUUUUUAGUUGUGCAUGAACCUUUAUUUUUAUUUAUUUAUAUGCCUCCCACAUGCUAGGCAAGCGCUGUUCCACUGAGCUACAACUCCUGCCCCUCUUUUAUUCUUAACAAAAGUAUGAGUCAAGGAUAUGAUCAAAAUGCCCAUGAACUCACAAAGAUAAGUUAGAGACUGGAAUGGGAAAAGCUCCUGGUCUAAAUGCUUUUACAAAUGUGGGUUUGAAUCAAUUCUGACCUCUCAAAAGAAAGCAAACUCACUUUAGUUUCAUCAGUGCUACUUUGAUCAAACCCUAAUGCUGGGCUGGGCUCGUGGCUCAGUGGUGGAGUGCUUGCCUCACACAUGUAAGGCACUCGGUUCCAUUCUCAGCACUGUAUAUAAAUAAAUGAAUAAAAUAAAGACCCAUCAACAACUAAUUUUUUUUUAAAUAUUAAAAAAACACCCUCAUGCAGAUUGGCAGUCCCGGGUCAGUGCUGAGGAGCCCAGUGCUGUCCACUGGGCUCACUUGUGUGACUGUGCUGGCUUCUAAGCCAGGGCAUCUUCAGGGCAAGCUCAUACAUUAAUGCACCUUCAUAGUGUCUUUUCCUUUGUUUCACCUAAACUUUUGUGGAAAAUUUUGAAGAUCUAGCCAUGAUCCUCAGGACCAUGAGAUCACUCUAACUCUUCCCAUUUGGGCUCCUGGGUAAACUUGGAUCAUGUCGAAUAGAGGAUGCCCAGAAACACUGGCAUCCACUACCUUAAUGUGUCUGUCAUUUUAACCUUUUACUACGUGCUUUAUGACCUUGAGCUUGAAAUAGAGCCCUUUAUGAUUCAAAGUAACUUUAAAAUUAAAGGGAGCUUCCUGAUAAUUGCUUUUCUGCAUCUGGAGUUUCCUCCUGCUGAGAAUGGAAACUGAGAAGCCACCAGGGAACCCCCGCAGGUGCCCAGGAAACGCAUUGUGUCAAGUUUCUCAUUGGCAGACCCACUGCAUCUAUGUAUGGCCCUUUCCUGCCUCCUGUCCCCCUGUAUCCCCCUUCUCUUAUACAAGAUGUUCACACACCUGAGCCCCCCAGAGACUGAGGUUGGAGACAGACCCUCCCUGUCUCAAGGCCGACUUUGAAUAUGCCUAUUUUUCUUCACCAAAAUUUGUCUGAUGAAUUUUAGUGGAGUCCAGUGGUGGAAACUUUGUUCCCAGUAAUAGUUUUUGUUAAGCAUCAGGGAGAAAGAGUCCCCCACCCCUGGGCCCAGCAGUCUCCAUAGAGGAGACUAAUGACACUGAGGAAGAAAGGGGUGGACUGCUCACGGCUAGAGGAAAGUGCAGUGGGAAUUUCCGGGGAAUCCCAGGAGCUGCCUGGACAUCUUCCAUCCCAGUUACUCCCUUCUUUACCGCUGCAGCAUCAAAUGCCUGUACAGUUUUGUUGGUAAAAGAGGAAGGUUUCAGAAAACAGAUGGGUUCCAGCCUGGAGAGCCACUGUAGGGUGCCCCUGAGAAUUUGAUCUGCACUAUUAGCGCCUGAAAUAAGCCCUUCACCCUCCAUUGGGUAGCCAUUUGGGGGCUUCACCUGGGAAUGUGUAUAAAAUGCUGACAGCCAAAUUCCCAGCUGUUUUGUCUUUUUGAGGAGAACCAUGUGGUUUGAUUUUGGUUUCAUUUCUUGUUUUUCUCCAUGAUUAAAAAGGAGUUAGUAUCCACUGUAACACUGCAUGUCUGUACAUCUAAAAGCACACUCUGAUUCAGGCAGCUGUUUUGUUUGUUACUUGACAACUGACUUGAAAAAGGCCAAAAUGUGAUGGCUGCAGGACAGACUUAUCUGCAUAAAUCUUCAGAGGAACAUACCCCACUCCCCAUUCCGGCCACUUGUCCAGGAGGAGUAAGUAGUUAUGGCCUGGUCUCCCCGGUACCUUGAGCUGGCACACAUACCCCUUGGUGUAUAGGGCUUUCUUAGAUGCAAAGAAGGAAUCUUCAGCUCAUAGUGAAACAUUAGGGAGGACUUCCUAAAAGCAGCAUAUUUAACUGACCAACACUUUUGACAUUUCAUUAGCAUGACUCUUUCUUCAGUCAUCAGAAAAGCCUCAAAAAAAAAAAAAGCAAAACUUAAUUAAAACAUACCAGAGCAAACAGCCCAGGGUCCUCGAAAUCUCUCUCCCUGGGAUACCCAGGAUAACUUUAGUAUGAACUCCUAUUUUGUUUACUUUGUUUAAUACACUUUUUGAUUCUAUGUACUUAAAUUGCUUAUUUUGUUUUAUUUUCAAAACACCCUUAUUAAAAAAGAUUCAUGUUAAUUUAAAGACUCUGUUUGUCAUUGCUUAAAAAAUGAAAUGAAUGUUAAUUAGCUUCCAGUGAAAACUAAUUGCAAGCCUGUUUUCAUUUGAUUUUAAUGUUCCUUCUAAAAAAUUCUCUGGAAACAAACAUCAGUCCCUUUUUUAAUGUAGAGUAGAAAAUGAGUUUAUGUGGUGUUGCUUGUAGAACAACUCAGAAACUUUCCAUUUAUGGUUUCUGUACAAACUACCUGUGUUUUACUUUUCUAAUCAGCGAAGUGUUUCACUUCUUUCUUUUAUAAAAUGCCCCUCAAAGUGAUUAAAUGUCUCUUGUGCUCUGAUGAUAUCCAGAGCCUAGUUUGCUGCAGUUAAAUGUUGUAGAAUCUUUUUCACUAGAAAAAGGACUAUUUCUUUUGGCAGUGAAUGUAGAUCUAUGUUUCUAAUUUGAUUUCAUAUCUGUUUACUUCUUCUGGAUUUGUAUUACUUUUAAAUGUCUUUUACUUUCUACCUCAAGACAUAGGAUAGUAAUGUCUUUUAAUGCUUUUAUUUUUUGUGCAUUAUAAUUAUACAUAACGGUGGGACUCUUUGUUACAUAUUGGUAAAUGUGCACAAUAUACCGAUAUGAAUCGUUCAGCGGAAUCCCCAGGUCUGCCCUGUUGCUUUUCCUCCUCUCUCCCCUGGGGCCUCUCUUCCACUUUACUGGACUCCUUUCAGUUUUCAUGAUAGCCCACCUCGGCUUCUUUCCCUUUUUCCUCUCUAGUUCCACAUGUGAGAGAAACCCUACAAACCCUGACUUUCUGAGUUGAAUUAUUUUGCUUAACAUAACGUUCUUAAGUUUUACCCAUUCUCCUGCAAAUGACAUAAUUUCAUUUUUCUUAAUGACUGAAUAAAGCUCAUGUGUGUGUGUGUGUGUGUGUGUGUGUGUGUGUGUGUGUUUGCUUAGAACUGCUUUAGCUAUUCUGGGUCUUUUAUUCUUCCAAAUGAAUUUGAGGGUGGUGUUUGCUAGUUCUGUGAAGACUGUUAUUGCUAGGUUGAUGGGGAUUGCAUUGAAUCUGUAUAUUGCUUUUGGUAAUAUGUCCAUUUAGCAAUGUUAAUCCUGCGUAUCCAUAAACAUGGGAAGUCUUUCCAUCUUCUUGUGUCUUCUUCAAUUUCUUUCCUCAAUAUUCCAUGGUUUUCAUUGUAGAAGUCUUUCAGCCCCUUGGUUAGACUUAUUCGUAGAUAUUUUACUUUAUUGUUUUGAGGCUAUUGUGAAUGGGAUUGUUUUCCUGGUUUCUUUCUCAGAAGAUAUCAUAUAGGUAUAUAGGAAAGCUAUUUAUUUUUGUAUGUUGAUUUUGUAACCUACUUUGAUUAAUUUAUUUAUUUUGCAGUCUUUUGGUGGAACUUUUUGGACCCUUCUAAGUAUAGGACCAUAUCAUCUGCAAACAGUGAUGUUUGACAUUUUCCUUUCCUAUUAUUAUCCUUUUUAUUUCCUUCUCUUGCCUAACUGCUCUGGCUAGAAUUUCUAGUAAUAUAUAAAUUGGAGUGGUGAUAGUGGGCAUCCUUGUCUUGGUCCAGAUUUUAAAGGGAAUGCUUUCGUUUUUUUCCCAGUUACUAUGAUGUUGGUUUUGGGUUUUUCAUAUAUAGCUUUUAUGAUGCAGAGCUAGGUUCAUCUAUUCCUAGUUUUUCUUCAGUAUUUUUACUGUAAAUGGAUGCUGAAAUUUGUCAAAGGCUUUCUUUGCAUAUAUUGAGAUGACUAAGAUUUUUUGGUCCUUAAUUCUAUUUAUGUGAUAAAUUACAUUUAUUGAUUUCCAUAGAUUAAAACAUCCUUACAUCUCUGGGGUAAAACCAAUUUUUACAUGAAGUAAAAUCUUAAUAUGUUGUUGAAUACUAUUUACUAAUAUUAUAUUAAGGAUUUUUGCAUCUAAAUUAAUCAGGGAUAUUGGUUUGUAGUUUUCUUUCCUUGAUAUGUUAUUAUCUAGUUUGGGUAUGAGUAUGAUACUAGCUUCAUGGAAUGAAUUGGAAGUGUUCCAUUCCUUUCCAUUUUGUGGAAUGAUUUGAGGAGCAUUGGCCUUAGUGCUUCUUUAUAGGUCUGGUCGAAUUCAGCUGAGAAUCCAUCUGGUCCUGGGUUCUUAUUUUUGGAAUUUUUUUUUAUUACUGGUUUAUCUCAUUGCUAGUUAUCAACGUGUUUAAUUUUUCUAUGUCCUCUUGAUUCAAUUUUGGUAGAUCAUAUGAGUCUAGAAUUUUAUCCAUUUCUUCUAUUUGUUGGGGUAUAAUUUCUCAAAAUGGUCCCUAAUGAUGCUCUAAAAUUUCUGUGAUGUCUGUGGUAAUAUUUCCUUUUUUAUCUUUAAUUUUAUUAAUUUGGGUCUUUCUCUUUUUCUUUUGGUUAGUUUGGCUAAAGCUUUAUCAAUCUUGUUUUUUUUUUCUUUUCAAAAAAAACUUUUUUUAUUUCAUAGAUUCUUUGUAUUAUUUUAAAAUUCUUUCUCUUAUUGAUUUUAGCUCUAAUUGUAAGUAUUUCCUUCCUUUUUACUGGUUUUGGAUUUUUUUUUCUUGUUUUUCUAGGGCCUUGUGAUGCAUCAGUAGUUUUUUUUUUUUUAAUUUGGGAUCUUCCUGAUUUUUUAAUGUAAAUACUCAUAGUUGUAAAUUUAUUCUUAGAACCACCUUCAUAGUAUCCUAGCACAUCUAUUACGUUGUGUCACUAUUCUUGUUUGAUUCUAAGAGUUUUAAAAUUUCUCCCCUGAUCUCCUCUAUCCAUAAUUUAAAAAAUGAAUUGUUCAAAUUCACAUGUUCAUAUACUUCCUCUAGCUUUGUGGUUGUUGAUUUUUAAUUUUAUUCCAUUAUGAUUUGAUAAAAUGCAAGGGAUUAUUUUGAUUUUUUUAUUUAGUAAGAGUUGCUUUAUGGCUAAAAAUAUGAUCUGUUUUGGAGAUUAUUCCAGGAGUAGCUGAGAAGAAAGUUAAUUCAGCUGUUAUUUGAUGAAAUAUUCUGUAGAUGUCUGAUUUGUAAUACUUUUUAGGUGAAAAGAAUGUUAACUGAGUUUAUGUCUGGAUGACUAUCUAUUGGUGAAAGGUAUGUUGAAAUCACCUAAUAUUUUGUACUUGGGUCUAUCUGAGUCUUUAGGUUAAGUAGUGUCUGUUUUAUGUAAUUAGGCACACCAACAUUUGAAGAAUGAAUAUGUACUAUUGUUAUAUCUUCUUGUUGGAUUGUUCCCUUUACCAUUAUAAAGUGACCUUCUAUGUCUCUUCUGAUUAAUUUUGGCUUGAAGUCAUCUUUGAGUUCAAGCUAUCUAUGAGUUGCCACUACUGCUUGUUUUGUUUUAAUUGUGUUUGCACAAUAUAUCAAUUUCCAUCCCUUCAUUUUCAACCUUUGCCUAAGGUGAGUCUCUUACAAACAACUUAAGUUGGUUGGUUCUUGUAUUCUGGCUCAUUCUACCAGCCUGUGUCUUUUAAUUUGAGCAUUUAGAUCAUUUAGAGUCAGGUUAUUAUAUAGAGAUGUUUAUUAAUUCCUGCUAUUUUGAUUUAUUUCUAAUGUUUAAUUUGGUUUUAGUUUUCAUUUGCUUACUACUCUUCAAAUGAUAUUUGUCCCUUUGCAAGAUCUGGAGUUUGUUUUUGAUUUUCUCAUUGUGUAAUAUUUAUUUAAGUAUUUUCUGUAGUAGUGACUUAGUAGUAUUCCUGGAUUCUUUAAACUUUUGCUUAUAUUGGAAGGUUUUUUUAAUUUCCUUUUUAAUUCUAAAGGAUAGGUUUGCUGGAUAUAACAAACUUGACACAGUUAUUUUGUUUCAGAGGUUGGAGUACAUCAUUCUGAGUCAUCCUGGACUUUAGAGCUUGUACUGAGAAAUUAGCAGUAAUUUUGAUUGGAUAGAUUCUAAAUGUGACCUGACAUUUUUCUUCUGAGACUUAAAGUUCUGUUUUUGUUGUGUAUGCUAGGAAUUUAAAUUAUAUUGUGUCAUGAGUCCUUAUUUUUUCGUUAUUGGGGAGUGAUUCCAGGAGAGUUUAACCACUGAGCCACAUCCCUAUCUCUUUUUUUUAUAUUUUAUUUUGAGAUAGGGUCUCACUGAAUUACUUAAGGCCUUGCUAAGUUGCUGAGGUUGGCUUUGAACUUGUGAUCCUCCUGCCUCUGCCUCCAGAGCCAUGGGAUAAUAGGCAUGCACCAUCAUGCCCAGCUGGAGUGCUUUUUGAUCUUGUCUAUUUAGGGUUUUGCAUGCCUCCUGUGUUUGGAUGUUGAUAUCAUUCCCAAGGUUUGGGAAACUUUCUGUUACUGUUUCCCUGAAUUAACCCAUUCCAUUUGCCUACAUUUUCAACCCUCUUGGUUACAGUGGUUCUUAAAUUCAGUCUCUUAAUAUUGUCCCAGUGUUCUUAUAUAUUAUGGCCAUGUUUGUUUAUUUUCUUUUCUUUAAUACUGUCUGUGUUCCAAGUCAGUCACUUUGUCUUCUGUGUGGUCUGCUGUAUUAGAGAGACUUUCAACUGAACAUUUUAUUUGACUUAUUGUACCUUUCAUUUCAAAGAUUUGUUUGCUUUUUCAACGUUUCUAUCUCAUUGCAUUUCUCAUUCUUAACCUGUAAUAGCAUCCUUAAUUGAAUCAGUUAUUUUUAAGUGUUCUGUUGGAAUUCAUUGAUAAUUUUUUUAAUAAUAAUUCUUUUGAAUUCUUUAUCAGGUAUUUCCUCCACUUAAAUACCUUGGAGUCAGCUGCUGGUGUCAUGUUACUUUGUAUUUUCAUAUUUCUUAUAUUCCUGUGAUGGGUUUUGUGCAUCUGUCGGAAUAUGUUUCUCUUCUAUGCUUAGGUAUAGACCUUUUUGGGAUGCAGCCUUCUUUUGGCAAAGUGUUAAGGUAUAUUGUGUGUGUGUGUGUGUGUGUGUGUGUGUUGUGAAAUUUUCAAUGUAUUUCCAAGUGGAUUUUAUAGUAUAGUUUCCUUGCUUUUUUUUUUUUUUUGGUAAUGAUUAGUGUAUUUUGAUACAGUCUGUAUUGUGUCAGAGCUUGAGGAUACCACUGUCCUGGUUGGUCUCACAGGAGUGGGAUCUUUCUUUUUGAUCUGGCAAUUGUGUUGUACACAGCAGGCUAUGUAAGGCACACGUGUCAUGAUUGCUCUUCUUCAGUUAACAACUCUGUACAUUCUACAAAGGAAUGGUAACAGCCUUAAUUGAGACUGUUCAUAGGUGUGGUUUCCACAGGCUAUACUAAUUCUGUUUUUGCUGUACGAAUAAUGUCCAUGAGUGGGACCUGAGUGCCCCAUGGAGCCAUUCUUACUUGGGGCCUGGUCAUUGGUUUGGGGGUUUUGUCUAACCUAUUCUUUGUAUUCAAGUGUCCUUGAAAUUUGAGUAUGGUUAAUUUGUGUGGGGAAUAAGGUGCUAUCUCUUGGCUGGGUUUUGGGUGAAGUUUAGCAGAAAAGUCUCUACCCUUGAAACUUGUAGUGUCCCAGGAGAUUCCCAGCACCUCAUAGAAGGGGAAGGGACAAAUAAUAGCAGCAAAUAACUUACAAUAUUAAUAUAAAUUCCUAGUGCCUCCUAUAAUAGCUAAACACUAAUUAUAACAAAACCAGGAAUGGUGGGACCAGAAAUUGACAGCAGAAACAAUAAUAGUUUUGAACUAGAUCUGGCACUAGAGUGAACAGUAGGGGUCUACUGUGCCAUCCUCAACAACAUGAAUGGCAGGGCAGGACAAAAGGUCAGAAUGUUCAAAAUUGUGAACCGAGAGAAAGCAGAAGAGAUGUAGCAAGUGAUGGCUAUAAAGACAGAGGAGAAAAAAUAAAUAGGAGGAACAAAGUAAAUAGAAAGAGAAAAAGAGAGAACAAGAGCAUUUGGCCAGUAGAGGGAUAAGAAAGAAGAAAAAGAAAAGCAAUUAACUGAAAAAAAUAAAUAAUACCUCUAACCCUAAAAGACAAAACAGUGAAACAAACAACAACAACAGCAAAACAAAUAAAAAUGAUUAAAAAGGAAACUUAUCUAGCUAUAUAACUCCAUAAGCAAGUCAACACAGCAACAACAACAACAACACACACUCACAAUCUUGAUCAAACAUGAAAUGGUUUCUCCACUGAGGUGGUCAGAACUGUGGCAAGGAUGGAUGCCAGAAUUGUCUUUUCUGUUUUUUUCUUGAGCUAUGUACCCCUAAGAACCAGGGAUGGGGGUUGUUAACCCCUUCCUCUUUUUGAGUUACUUACUAAGCUGCCGGCUGGACAGGCCUGGAGCUGAGGCUGGUAUAAGGUAGGACAUAAUGGGAAGUACUGUCACUUGGAGUGUGGUCUGGACAGACCAGAUUGGUGCACUCCCAGGGCGGGGUUGGUGCAGAGUUCUAACUGAAAGGUCCUGUGGCUGGAAUUUAGCUUUAUUCAGGCCUUUGGAUUUGGUGUUAUCUUUUCUGCUCUGAGAUUAGAUCAGCACAGACCUAGGCAGGCAGAUGCCAAUCUCUACUGGGCAUCUAGAUCUCAAUGGCCUCCAGAGAUCUGCACUUGUAGGGCAGGGGAGUCAACCCUCAACAGGCCUCCCACGUUUCAACACCCACAAGUGUGGCCUUCCCAGGCUCAGUCCCCAUGUUUACAUACACCCACGAGUUCAGACCCUCUUCAGCAGCUGGACUCAAAGGGAAAGUGAGUUAUACUCUCCUCCGAGUCUCAGACUUCAAUCCCCUGGGUCCAGGCUCUGGGCCUGCUUCACUCACUUUCUGCUAGGUACUCCUGGCCACACGGCUGGCACCUGCCAGCACAGCAUGGCAGUGUUUGCUAGGGUUUCCUGGUUCCCCGGCAGCAAGCUGCAGUGUGGCCUCAAGAUGGCUCCUACCUCACCUCUCCACUUGCCAAUUGAGAAACAGAACACUUUUCAAAUAGGAGUGCAGCCUCCAGACCAGCUAAGUUCAGGCUGCUUUUCUGUUCUACAGGUUUUUCUGUGCCCAUUUUCUUUUGUUUUCUGUUUAUGGUAUCCCUCCCCCUGAUGUGACUGGCAGGGCUGCCGCUGCUGGCUUGGCUCCAGUGUACUCUUUCAUGUCCUUUAUUCAAUGCGUCUGAAUUUCUGGGUCUCUAAGAGUCUCUGUCCAAUAUUGAAUUUCAAUGCAUUCCCUUUUUCACCCACCUCACUGAGAACUAGUACACCUGCUGCUUGGAUUCUGAGCCACAGAGAGACUGGAAAGUCAAACUUCCUCUAAUCUAACAUCUUGAAUCUCUUAAGUUUGGGAGUUUAUUGUUAAAAUCUUACAUUAAAAGAUUUUUAAGGAUUGAUGUAUGUCUCUCUUAUAGACAGGAGUCUUGAAAAAUAAUGAGUAUUAGCCAGGUGUGGUGGUGUACACCUAUAAUCUCAGUGAUUCAGGAGGUUUGAGGCAGGAGGAUUGCAAAUUCAAGGCCAGUAUUAGCAUGUUAGUGAGACCCUGUCUCAAAAAAUAAAAAGGUCUGGGAUUGCAGUUCAGUGGUAAAGAGUCCCUGGAUUCAGGGCUGAGGUUGUAGCUUAGUGGCAGAGCACUUGGUGCUGGGUUCAAUCCUUAGCACCACAUAAAAAAUAAAAUAAAGGUCUUGUGUCUUAUCUCCUUAUAUCGCCUGUAGACCUCACAGUUCCUGGUCUCUAAAAUGUAUCUCACUCACCCUUUCCCUUUCUACUUCCUAACAGGGACCUUUGUUUCCAGAGGUCUUGUGGGUUGUGCUCUGGGGACUGCACACCUGUCUUGUAGAGCUAUUUUGUACUGGGAAGUCACUAUGCUGGGUUAACAGCUGCUGGGAAGAGCGGGGAAUUGGGGAUUAUAGGUACCUGCCCAGCCGGUGUUCCAAACUGGGAGUUGCCCCAACUAAAGAUGACAACAAAGGUGACCCAAGAUGGAGACGGCUGCUUUCAGCAAUGGGAGUUGGGUUGGGUUGUGGGGGCUAGGCAAUGGCAUUGGGUGACGUGUUCAGAGAUGAGCUCUGUGGCGUGCAGGGUUGUGGCUGUCGGCUGUCUUCAGUUCCUAUGCAAUGUCUCCAGUGCAGGCAGGCUGCCCUACGUAGGAGACUAUGGCAGUGGCCGCAGAAUCCCAAGAUGGAGGUGAUCUGGGGAGUCCCACAUUGGUAAAUGGGGGUCCACACAGGAGUGGCAGCCAGAGUUCCUGUGUGUGGGUAGCAGCCGAGUGUUCUGCAUGGGAUCAGCGUCUGGGAUUCUUGCUCAGGAGGAUGGCCAGGAGUCCUGUGUGGGUGCUGAUUCCAGUGGUCCCGCUCAGGCACCCGGGAGCCCUGUGUGGGCGAGUAGUUGGGGUUUCUGCUCUGAUGCUUAGAACUGGAACCCUGCUCGGGAGCAGCUGUGGGGGUCCCUCUAUCACUCCCAGAGAAGCAGUAUUCCCAGGUCAUGGAGUGACCAAUGCUCCUCCCUCUAGCCUGCAAUCUUGGAUCCCUGGGAUCUGUUUUAUUGAUACAAAUAUCUAACACUUUAAAAACCCCAUAGUCUGGAUACAAUGGUGUAAAUCAUGAUUACUAUCUUGACAUACUGUCAAGGCAACUAAAUCUUUUUGGUAGGUUGUUAAGCUCUCUAUGUAAUAAUAAUCUUCUGUAUUAUUCUUGUCAUUUUAGAUAACAUGAGCCAUGUCUCUAGUUAAGGGGCAAACUUUAUUCAUCUGCUAUCUCAAGAAGAAUUUAAGGUUAAAAGUUUGGGUAUAAAACAUGUUCAAGACUGGCUAUUUUAAAAGGGGUUUCUCAGUUAUACUGUAUGCAUUGCAACUUGGCUUACAAAGAACAUUUAAAUAUAUACACACAUACCCAUGCAUACAUAUAUGUAUGUAUUCUUAAUUGGAAAAUAAACGUUGAUUCUUAUAGCCUGUAUUAAAUUUUUUUUUCUUUUACAAUUCCAUGUAAUGUACCUAAAUUCUAAAGAUGAAAAUGUGAGGAUUAGUUUUCUACACAAUGAAAUUAACCUUAGUGUGUAUCAGGUAGCUAGCUAACAGACAGUCUUUGAUACAAAUCUCUGACAGACUACUUCUAGAGACAAGUUGGUUUUCUUUGAUUAGAUAAAUAUAUUAGAAUUAAAGAGAUUAUCAACUCAAAUCUACUAUGCUGACUGGAUUUGCUUUGUUCUUAUUAUUCUCUGUCUUUCAGAGCUUUUAAAUAUUUCAGGCUUUGUUUCCUUUAGGAACAAGUAUCUGGAUCCUUAUACAGUGGAGUUCCAUGAUGGGAUCUACACACCAAUACAACAAUAAACUGUCGCCAGGUGACAUGACACCACAAGGCCGCAGGAUGGAGGGAUAACCAAACAGGGGCAAACUGAAACAGAGCCCCUUUAAAACUAAAAGCAACUUUAAACAGAACUUCCUGAUAACUGCUUUUUGGCAUGUGGAGUUUCCUCCCGCUGAGAGUGGACACGGGAAGCCUCCGCCUAGCCCCAGGUACUAAUGAAAUGAACUGUGACAUGUUUCUGAUUAGCACAGCCCAACUGAAUCUGCACAUGUACAUUUCCGGCCCUUUGACCCACCAUCCACCUGUCCUCUGAUGAAAGCUGUCUGUACACCUCAGCUGCUGCAAGAUGGAUCUUGGAGAAAGAAUGGCC